UAGGGAAUCUUCGGCAAUGGGGGGAACCCUGACCGAGCAACGCCGCGUGAGUGAAGAAGGUUUUCGGAUCGUAAAGCUCUGUUGUUAAGGAAGAACGUGUGUGAGAAUGGAAAGUUCAUGCUGUGACGGUACUUAACCAGAAAGGGACGGCUAACUACGUGCCAGCAGCCGCGGUAAUACGUAGGUCCCGAGCGUUGUCCGGAUUUAUUGGGCGUAAAGCGAGCGCAGGCGGUUAGAAAAGUCUGAAGUGAAAGGCAGUGGCUCAACCAUUGUAGGCUUUGGAAACUGUUUAACUUGAGCGCAGAAGGGGAGAGUGGAAUUCCAUGUGUAGCGGUGAAAUGCGUAGAUAUAUGGAGGAACACCGGUCGCGAAAGCGGCUCUCUGGUCUGUUACUGACGCUGAGGCUCGAAAGCGUGGGGAGCGAACAGG
rnacentral:rRNA from 1 species